CGGGGUUGUAGGGCCACUCACUGCGCGGUUACAAAACCUCGCGGAAGCGGAACGGCAUGGGAAGGCCGGCGGGACAGGGUUAGAGCCCCGUACGCGAAUCCGCGAGGACUGCCGCUUGGUUCCUGAGUACCGCCGGACACGUGAAACCCGGUGGGAAGCUGGGGGGUCCACCCUCCAAUCCUAAAUACUCUCCUGUGACCGAUAGUGGACCAGUACCGUGAGGGAAAGGUGA
rnacentral:rRNA from 16 species